rnacentral:rRNA from 1 species
AUGCGAGGCCGAAGGCGCCAGAUCCAGACCACUACCAACACGACGCCGGCAGCAACCUUCCCACAAGCAGCGGCCAUGGUGUACUCGGCCUCCCUGCAAAGCUUCCUCCCGCCCUCGGCCCACGCGGCGACGUCGUCGUCCCAGCACCGGCCCAACCGUGCCCGCCCCUUCCAGUGCGCGGCCGUUUCCGCCCCGUCGUAUUCGGCCGCCUCGCCGUCGGCCUCGGCCGUCCCGGCGGAGCGGGUGGAGCAGCGCUGCAACGGGAGGGCAGGUACUGGGUGCUCAAGGAGAAGUACCGCACCAGCCUCACAAGCUCACCAAGCUGCCCAUGGAGCGGACGCCGACAAGCUCACCAAGGAGGACGUCGACGUGCGGCUCGGCCUCUUCCACCGCCGCAAGCAGCAGUGUAUGCCCCUGCUCUGUCAAGGGAUCAGGGAUGCGUUGAAGGUUAGGAGCCUGAUGAACGAGCUGACUGCAGCCAAGACUGAGCUGAAACAAUCAAGGGAGGUGAUCAGCAACAGUAAGAAGGCUCUGCUAGACAAUGCCCUGAGCCAGCUCGACGCGUUCAAGAAUCUAAGCAAUCCAGCAAUUAACAGCAGCGGCAACAGAGGCGGAGCGGGGAAUACCAGCAGCAACAGAGGUGAGAGCGGGCGCGACCUUCGGAGGAGGGCCAGCACGGAGAGGAAGACCCUGUGCUUGGAGGAGAGGUUGAGCAGGGCCAACGCGGCGAUGAAGACCCUGGGCCAGAGCGGCGAGGAAGACCCAGCGCCGCGACGGCGUCCAAAAUUGUCCGCGGCGACGGCGGCCAAGGCGGACCAAAUCAAGGACCUAGUCGUCGAUUUACUGCUUCUUGGCACGAUUCAGAGGGAGGUGAUGAAGAGGAAGAACUUUAGGAGCAAUCCCGCUGCUCAGGUAGGCGAGGGCACACCCAUGGCGGCUGCGCAGCUGGGCGGCGAUGCAAGGCGCCUCCGUGGAGGUCCUGCGCGUCUCCUCCGCGACGACGCAAGUCGUCUCCUGCACAGGCGGCUGGGUCUUGCGACGCGCGGAGACUCUCUCUGGGUGCUGAGGAGAAUGGGGGAGGAAGACGGGGGAUGGUGGCCGGAGCUGGCGACGCGCGAGCGACGGUGGAGAAGUGAGGAAGGAGACGGGGGCGUUUUUUCAAACGAUUCAAAAGUAUAA